rnacentral:rRNA from 1 species
GAUGAACGCUAGCUACAGGCUUAACACAUGCAAGUCGAGGGGAAACGACAUCGAAAGCUUGCUUUUGAUGGGCGUCGACCGGCGCACGGGUGAGUAACGCGUAUCCAACCUGCCCACCACUUGGGGAUAACCUUGCGAAAGUAAGACUAAUACCCAAUGAUAUCCCACGAAGGCAUCCGAAUGGGAUUAAAGAUUUAUCGGUGAUGGAUGGGGAUGCGUCUGAUUAGCUUGUUGGCGGGGUAACGGCCCACCAAGGCAACGAUCAGUAGGGGUUCUGAGAGGAAGGUCCCCCCACAUUGGAACUGAGACACGGUCCAAACUCCUACGGGAGGCAGCAGUGAGGAAUAUUGGUCAAUGGGCGAGAGCCUGAACCAGCCAAGUAGCGUGCAGGAUGACGGCCCUAUGGGUUGUAAACUGCUUUUAUAAGGGAAUAAAGUUAGUCUCGUGAGACUUUUUGCAUGUACCUUAUGAAUAAGGACCGGCUAAUUCCGUG